UACGGGGGGGCGAAGCGUUGUUCGGAAUUACUGGGCGUAAAGGGCUCGUAGGCGGCCAACUAAGUCAGACGUGAAAUCCCUCGGCUUAACCGGGAACUGCGUCUGAUACUGGAUGGCUUGAAUCCGGGAGAGGGAUGCGGAAUUCCAGGUGUAGCGGUGAAAUGCGUAGAUAUCUGGAGGAACACCGGUGGCGAAGGCGGCAUCCUGGACCGGCAUUGACGCUGAGGAGCGAAAGCCAGGG
rnacentral:rRNA from 1 species